UGGGCUGGUGUGUUCCUCCUAUUUCAGCUCUGUUUCCAGAAUCAGCAGCGGUAUUUAUUGCUUAUAUGUUUGGAUUACAUCUUAAUUUCAUGUUCUAAA